UCCUCUCCAACCGUAACGGCCACGGCUUCUACAGCUCCUCCUCCGCCCAAAAAGACGUCGAAAGAGUCUAUGCAAUCGGGCUCACCCCGAUUCUUGCGGUAGUUGCCUCUGGUGAUGUGCCCACCUCCAAUCCUGAAUAUCUUAAGUGGUUUGAUGUCAUCAACUCAUCGUCAGCUACCUGAAUCAUCUCCACCAUUACUGUUGCGGGUCUUAGAGACCCCCAUCACGUCGUCAGCUAAUAAGGUGCCAAUCCAAGCUGGAGCAGAGUCAAGAGGGCAUACACCCAGUUCACCAUUGUAGCUCGCCUUGGCUAGACUGUCAGCCACGCAGUUCUGUUCACGGUAAACAUGAUUUUUACACCACAAUUUCCAACUUUUCUACAAACUUUCUGCAGUCUGAGAGCACUCCAGCAAGAGGGUCUUCAGACUCACUUCGCUCAAGCUUCGGUUUGGUAUAGAUGAUAGAAUUUAGGAUUAAUUGUAGCAAUGGUCUUAAACUAUACCCUUAGUUAUAUUUUGGUCCAAAAAUAGCUGCAGAGGUCCCCCAAUUAUGUAUGGUGUUGCAUUACUAGUCC